CUCGGGCACGCGGUGCCGUUACGGCCGUUACAGCCGUUGCGGCGCGCGGCGCUGUGUGGUGUUUCGCGCCUCGCCGUCCCGAGCGGGCGUAAGGCAGCACUGAGCGGUCUUUUCAUCCCUCACGUCGAGGGCAGCGUCUCGCCUCCUUCCUGCCUCGCUUCCAGCUAUUGAGCGGCUGCCCGGCGGGAAAUCCUGACCCGAGGCACGCGUAAUAUUCAUGCCGAAUCCCGGCUGAAGACCAAUUAUAAGUCUGUUGUCCUGCUUUUUCCUCUGAGCGUCUGAUUCCUGAUCCGUGAUGCACUAACCGAACUCGUUAAGGAGAGCAGUGCAGGCAAGCCGUAGGUUUAGUGAUACAAAUGUCAGAUUGCUUUGUGUGCCUUUGCUUCUGAUCUGGGACAAAUGAGGAAGAUGGGAAUUGCCUCCAAUCCCUAUCACCAAGGACCAAACCUCUCUUCAGUAGAAUGCAUGGGAUUCUCCCAUAAAGAAAAAAAUUACAGAGCGUGAAACACUUUUUUAGAAGUCAUCAAACUGCUUUUAGUAGCUAGUUCCAGGUCAGCACCAUCAGUGAACAAAACAAAGUAAAUUUAUGUUCCUGAAGCUGGGACUCCUCUCCUGCCAACCUAUCCACCAGAGUUCAGUUAUGUGAGUAGUUCAUAUGUGGCAGAGUAAUGGGAGCCAAUGCCUUGUAUAUGUUGUUAAAGCAAAAUCUCCAUUGGCUGUAGAAAGUAGUAACAUAUUCCUACAAGCGCGUCAAUAAUACAAGACAAAAAUAUGCACCAGCGGACAAGAGGAUGAUUUUUAAGUAUAUACACAUGUAACAAAUCAAAUCUGUUGGCUUAAUUUGUUUUUGUCUUUUUCCACAGUAGAAAUCUUAGCUUUAUCAGUUCUUAAUCUUAUAGUCUUUGACUGAAUUUUAUUCAACAUUGCAAACAUGCCUUUUACUUUUACAGUUUUCUGAGCUUUCAGCUGUUUAGAAUUUAUUGGUUGAAGGUGAAUUCAACAAAGAACAAGGGUUUGAUGGAAAACCCAUGUUAGAACCGUUAACUUGUCAGUGACUCUUCCACUAACAUAAUGCAGGAGAGCUGCAGGGUUAUUAACCAACAAAUCUCUCCUCUGUAGUCUAAGAAUAUCUCCCAAUUGGGUGCCUCAGUGAAAUGCCAUGUGUUAUAAAUGGCAAAGCUGAUUUUGAACUUACAAGGAUAGUAAGGAAGGACUACUGGAGCUUUGAUAUUUAGCAGAGUGGUAAUGGACAUGUUGCUCUACACGUAGCUAUCCCUUAGUAAUUGCUUUUCCCCAACAGAUCAGAUGCUUCUUAUCUUGUACUAAUGUCACAAUUCAAAAUCCUGGUAUUGUUUACAGUUGUCUUCAGAAGGUUUGCAUUUACCUUUUUAUUUAUGUUUAUUUAUUCUGUCUUGAGAUAAUCUUAAUCUUUAAAUCUCAGAGGGCUUUUCCUUGGUUCACAAAUAUCGUACCAAGUUGCAAAUCUGUGUGAUUAGUGACAGGCAUUAAUGUGAACUCGCUGACUCAGGAACUUAGUAGUGAAUAGGAGAGACUUUCACUUUAGUCAAAUCAGCAAUGACAGGAUUUUUUUGCCAUCUGAUGGCUGCUUUAGGUUCUUAUUGGCUGAGGAUGUUUUGAAUUUGUAUAGUACAUAGAAUCUUCUAUUGCUAUGUUUUGCCUUCUGUUUUUUUAACAAUAACAGUUUUAUCUAGAGUAGCAUGCUCUAGCAGAUUUGUCACUGGUAUAAAUCGGAGUGAUAUUACUAUCCUUUAUCCCAACAGUUCAUCUGGCUCAGUGUAUCUCUAAUAACAUGGCAUGGAGGCAUGAAACCAAAAUUGUGGCACUUAGACUUUUUCUGGAAAUGUUGUUUUCUGAAAAUAUUUUUCACAGGAGAAAAGGUUUAGGUACUUGCAAUUAAUGCUGUCUUCUAACAUGCAAAGAACCCACGCAGGAUGAUCUCAGAUUGUUGGAGAAUCUAAGUUACCAUGGUAUUAUAUGUGUUAAGGAUAUAAAACAUUUUCACAUCCAGCUUCAUUAUUUUACUGUUAAAUACUUUUCCCCUAACGAUGUGUUUUCCAUCUAAGAUUUCUGUCUUUUUUCUCUGCCUUGAACUUCGGCUUUCUGUCACUUCUCUGUGUUACAUUAACCUGUACUAGGCAGUGUGAUAAUUUGACUCUUGAUAACAUGAACUCCCUUCUUGCAGUGGGCAUCAUUAACUUCCUCCCUUCCACGGUGAUCUGAUCUCUGGUUUGUAACUUCUCACAUGUUAUUGAAGUUCUACUCAGGUUGCUAACAGAUUUUCAUGGUAUUUUGCUGUUUAAAAAAAAAAGUCUAAGUAUUGCAAAUAUAGAAAGUAUAUAAAGAAGUUAAAUGAACAGACAACAGUUUCAGUAGGUUUUUUUGCAGACACUCUCUACAGAUACAUAUCUUAAACACCAGAUGAAUUUUUAGAAUGUCACUGCAUGAGAAUGAGUAAGUCUUCAUCAUUUGAAUGUGUACCAGGCUGAAUUUGUUCCAGGCUGUAGAUUCACUGAAGGAAUGUCCCACUAGGGAGCAGCACCAUCUAUAUUCUUCUUUCUCAAUAUUUAAACUAACUGCAUAUUAUUUCAUACUUGUCAAACCUUUCAAGGCGUUAUACUCUUUCUACACUGUUAUUUGGAACUAGUAUUUGAAAUCUGUUAUAGUGUGUUUUUGUUACUAAAUCUAUUUCACCAUAAAUAUGUGUUUACUUAGCUCCCUCCAGUGACUUGAGGAGCAAAUAAGUCCAUGGUGUGCUAUCAUUCUAGAUAUUGCAAAACAAAUUAACACUAAUAGCAAGUUCAGUUCUUUAGAUGAAAUUACAUGUAGCGUUCUGCAGCAUAAUGGCUAAAUACUAUGUGCUAAAGCCACUGCAGCUUAUGAUAUUCGGCAGUGGCUGCUUUUCCACACAAUUCUUUUCUUAUUAGUAAUGCUUUCUUAGCAGAAUUAAUGAAUGAAUUUGACAUUAAAUGGGAGCGAAAAAAACCUCACACUUCUAAAAGAGCGUUAAUAUGUUUAGGAGAGAAAAGAGUGGAUUCGGAAUGGAAAUUAAUUUUCUGAGUUGUGUUAAAGAUGCUACUUCAAUAUUUAUAAUGUUAUGCAGGAAAAUAUUAGCUAUAAUCAACUCUGGAAGCAAAUACACACUGUAUCCUGAGGAAAAUCUGUGUGCUUUUACUAGUGAUAGGAUGAAUUAAACAGAAAGUACAUUUGUGAAAAUGUUUCCUUUUUUUUAGAUGUAUGAAGAACAACAAAAUUACAGUUAUUUAUGAGCUAAAUUGAAUCAGAACUCUCUUCAAGCUGAAAAAGUAUGGAGAAUGAUGUGCAGAUAAAUUGCUGUAGUAUUUGUAAUAGGAAAAGGGAAAAUUACAUGACAAAGAAAAUUGAUUAGAUAAUCAGAGAACUUCUGGUCUUUCUGAAGUAAAAGAAAGUUUUGCAGCUGAGUUCAGCUGUACCAUGAUUUAAAUAUAUCUGAAUGAAGCAUUGGAAGAUGUGUUACCAGUGAUGGAUACAAAAACAAUACUGAAGACUAUAAUUUUAGAGGAUUGCAUCUGCAGUGUAAGUAAUUAAUUUUUAAUUUCUAAUAACCUACCUCAUGUGACAGCGGACUUCAAUUGUUGUAUUGAAAUUAUAGAAAGAUGUGAAAAUUGCAAGGAAGAAAUAAUGUUUCCACAGAAAUAUGAAGAGUUUUAAAUGACCCCAAUGUGUAGAGAUUGAUCUAUAAUAACAAGUCGCAUUUGUGAGGCUAUGUGAGGGCUUUUGUGAGGCAGAGAGGGCUUUUACCUGACCAUCUAGAAGGAAAACUAUCUGUAGUAUGAUUGUGAAUUACCAGUACGAGUACAAAGCCAGCUUUGGGUGAUAGAAAAAAUGUUAGUGUGUAUAUUCUACAAAAAGUGCAUAUUCUGUACUUUCUUAUGAAGAGCUGAUGAAGCAAAUUCAAAACUAUAGUGGAAAAAAAUUGCUGAGGAAAUAGAAUAUCUUAGAACUGGAUUGUUGUUUCUUAACAUUUGUUUUGUUGGGUGAAUGUUAACAUUCU